CGAUAGAAAGACAAGAAGCAGACGAGAAGUGGCAGAGAGGGUAAUUAAAGUUUGAUGGGGACAACAAAACAUUUUACCUCUUGGUUUUAACCAAAUGCAUGUGGUUUUCGGUUUCUACAGACACUGAGGACAAAUUGGGAAUUGGGAUAAUUAAUUUUUACCAUAUAGUUUUGUUUUUUUUCUUAAACUUUUAAUUAACUAGUUUAUAUAAUUUGAUUAUUUUGAAAUGAGUCAAGUGACGUGAAUAUCAUUUAGAUCCAAUGCAUGUGAAUCAAUUGAGUACAUAUUGAAAUCAUAGAUAUGAAAGAAAAAUGAUUAAGAGAAAAAGACAAAAAUAACACUAAAUCAAGUUUUUGUUCUCAAACUAACGCUCAAGGUCAAAAGUCACAAAAAUAGUACUUAAUGUUUUAUCAAAAGUCAGGAUAGGGUUUAGAGUUAAAUGGUGGGAUUUAGGAUUUAGGGUUUAGGGUUUAGAGUUUAGGAUUUAGGGUUUAGAGUUUAGAGUUUAGGGUUUAGGGUUUAGGGUUUAGGGUUUAGGUUUAAGGGUUUAGGGUUUAGAGUUUAGGGUUUAGGGUUUAGAGUUGAGAAAUG
rnacentral:lncRNA from 1 species